AUCUGCUUGAAGAUGUAUGGAGUCUGACCUGCCCACUGAAUAUUUUAAAGGGCCGCGGUAUUCUGACCGUGCGAAGGUAGCAUAAUCAUUAGUCUUUUAAUGGGAGGCUUGUAUGAAUGGUUGGACGAGAAAUAAGCUGUUUUUUAUUUAAAUUUUAAAUUUAACUUUUAAGUGAAAAGGCUUAAAUUUUACAAGAAGACGAUAAGACCCUAUAAAUCUUUACACUAUCUCAGGGGUCAGAGGAAGUUGGGUGUAAACCCCUAUUUACCUUUGAGGGUGUUUUGUUGGGGCGACAUAAAUAGCUAAUAAUCUGUUUAAAGAAAUUACAAUAUAUAUUUGAAUUAGAGUUUAAGAUCCUUAUUAUAGAUUGAAAGAUUAAGUUACUUUAGGGAUAACAGCGUUAUUUUGCUUGAGAGUUCAUAUCGAAAGCAAAGUUUGCGACCUCGAUGUUGAAUUAAGAGAUCUUUACGGCGCAGCAGCUGUAAGAGAAAGUCUGUUCGACUUUUAAAUUUUU
rnacentral:rRNA from 1 species